rnacentral:rRNA from 1 species
UGGGGGAUAUUGCACAAUGGGCGAAAGCCUGAUGCAGCGACGCCGCGUGGGGGAUGAAGGCUUUCGGGUUGUAAGCCUCUUUCGCUAUCGAACAAGGCCCGCUUAGGGUGGGUUGAGGGUAGGUGGAGAAGAAGCGCCGGCUAACUACGUGCCAGCAGCCGCGGUAAUACGUAGGGCGCGAGCGUUGUCCGGAAUUAUUGGGCGUAAAGGGCUUGUAGGCGGCUUGUUGCGCCUGCUGUGAAAACGCGGGGCUUAACUUCGCGCGUGCAGUGGGUACGGGCAGGCUUGAGUGUGGUAGGGGUGACUGGAAUUCCAGGUGUAGCGGUGGAAUGCGCAGAUAUCUGGAGGAACACCGAUGGCGAAGGCAGGUCACUGGGCCAUUACUGACGCUGAGGAGCGAAAGCAUGGGUAGCGAACAGG